rnacentral:rRNA from 1 species
UACAGAGGUCUCAAGCAUUAAUCGGAUUUAUUGGGCGUAAAGGGCGCGUAGGCGGGAUAGUAAGUCAGAUGUGAAAUCCCGGAGCUUAACUCCGGAACGGCAUUUGAUACUGCCUUCCUAGAGGGUAGACGGAGAAAACGGAAUUCCACAAGUAGCGGUGAAAUGCGUAGAUAUGUGGAAGAACACCUGUGGCGAAAGCGGUUUUCUAGUUUAUUCCUGACGCUGAUGCGCGAAAGCUAGGGGAGCAAACAGG